rnacentral:tRNA from 1 species
UUUAAUAUGGCAGAAUUAGUGCAUUGGAUUUAAACCCCAAAUAUAAAGACUUGAAUUUUUUUCUUUUAUUAAAA